CUGACUGACCGAUAGUGAACCAGUACCGUGAGGGAAAGGCGAAAAGAACCCCGGCGAGGGGAGUGAAAAAGAACCUGAAACCGUGUACGUACAAGCAGUGGGAGCACAGGUUUACCUGUGUGACUGCGUACCUUUUGUAUAAUGGGUCAGCGACUUAUAUUCUGUAGCAAGGUUAACCGUAUAGGGGAGCCGGAGGGAAACCGAGUCUUAAUUGGGCGUUAAGUUGCAGGGUAUAGACCCGAAACCCGGUGAUCUAGCCAUGGGCAGGUUGAAGGUUGGGUAACACUAACUGGAGGACCGAACCGACUAAUGUUGAAAAAUUAGCGGAUGACCUGUGGCUGGGGGUGAAAGGCCAAUCAAACCGGGAGAUAGCUGGUUCUCCCCGAAAGCUAUUUAGGUAGCGCCUCGUGAAUUCAUCUCCGGGGGUAGAGCACUGUUUCGGCUAGGGGGCCAUCCCGGCUUACCAACCCGAUGCAAACUGCGAAUACCGGAGAAUGUUAUCACGGGAGACACACGGCGGGUGCUAACGUCCGUCGUGAAGAGGGAAACAACCCAGACCGCCAGCUAAGGUCCCAAAGUCAUGGUUAAGUGGGAAACGAUGUGGGAAGGCCCAGACAGCCAGGAUGUUGGCUUAGAAGCAGCCAUCAUUUAAAGAAAGCGUAAUAGCUCACUGGUCGAGUCGGCCUGCGCGGAAGAUGUAACGGGGCUAAACCAUGCACCGAAGCUGCGGCAGCGACGCUGAUGCGUUGUUGGGUAGGGGAGCGUUCUGUAAGCCUGCGAAGGUGGCCUGUGAGGGUUGCUGGAGGUAUCAGAAGUGCGAAUGCUGACAUAAGUAACGAUAAAGCGGGUGAAAAGCCCGCUCGCCGGAAGACCAAGGGUUCCUGUCCAACGUUAAUCGGGGCAGGGUGAGUCGACCCCUAAGGCGAGGCCGAAAGGCGUAGUCGAUGGGAAACGGGUUAAUAUUCCCGUACUUGGUGUUACUGCGAAGGGGGGACGGAGAAGGCUAUGUUGGCCGGGCGACGGUUGUCCCGGUUUAAGCGUGUAGGUGUGUGUUCCAGGUAAAUCCGGUUCACUUUAACACUGAGGCGUGAUGACGAGGCACUACGGUGCUGAAGCAACAAAUGCCCUGCUUCCAGGAAAAGCCUCUAAGCAUCAGGUAACAUCAAAUCGUACCCCAAACCGACACAGGUGGUCAGGUAGAGAAUACCAAGGCGCUUGAGAGAACUCGGGUGAAGGAACUAGGCAAAAUGGUGCCGUAACUUCGGGAGAAGGCACGCUGACACGUAGGUGAAGUGAUUUACUCACGGAGCUGAAGUCAGUCGAAGAUACCAGCUGGCUGCAACUGUUUAUUAAAAACACAGCACUGUGCAAACACGAAAGUGGACGUAUACGGUGUGACGCCUGCCCGGUGCCGGAAGGUUAAUUGAUGGGGUCAGCGCAAGCGAAGCUCCUGAUCGAAGCCCCGGUAAACGGCGGCCGUAACUAUAACGGUCCUAAGGUAGCGAAAUUCCUUGUCGGGUAAGUUCCGACCUGCACGAAUGGCGUAAUGAUGGCCAGGCUGUCUCCACCCGAGACUCAGUGAAAUUGAACUCGCUGUGAAGAUGCAGUGUACCCGCGGCAAGACGGAAAGACCCCGUGAACCUUUACUAUAGCUUGACACUGAACAUUGAGCCUUGAUGUGUAGGAUAGGUGGGAGGCUUUGAAGUGUGGACGCCAGUCUGCAUGGAGCCGACCUUGAAAUACCACCCUUUAAUGUUUGAUGUUCUAACGUGGACCCGUAAUCCGGGUUGCGGACAGUGUCUGGUGGGUAGUUUGACUGGGGCGGUCUCCUCCUAAAGAGUAACGGAGGAGCACGAAGGUUGGCUAAUCCUGGUCGGACAUCAGGAGGUUAGUGCAAUGGCAUAAGCCAGCUUGACUGCGAGCGUGACGGCGCGAGCAGGUGCGAAAGCAGGUCAUAGUGAUCCGGUGGUUCUGAAUGGAAGGGCCAUCGCUCAACGGAUAAAAGGUACUCCGGGGAUAACAGGCUGAUACCGCCCAAGAGUUCAUAUCGACGGCGGUGUUUGGCACCUCGAUGUCGGCUCAUCACAUCCUGGGGCUGAAGUAGGUCCCAAGGGUAUGGCUGUUCGCCAUUUAAAGUGGUACGCGAGCUGGGUUUAGAACGUCGUGAGACAGUUCGGUCCCUAUCUGCCGUGGGCGCUGGAGAACUGAGGGGGGCUGCUCCUAGUACGAGAGGACCGGAGUGGACGCAUCACUGGUGUUCGGGUUGUCAUGCCAAUGGCACUGCCCGGUAGCUAAAUGCGGAAGAGAUAAGUGCUGAAAGCAUCUAAGCACGAAACUUGCCCCGAGAUGAGUUCUCCCUGAGACUU
rnacentral:rRNA from 1 species